CUGUUGCUUUAUUUAAUGAAUGUUGCAUUGUAUUGUUUCUUUAUGUUGUAUGAUGUAAAUACAUCAUCCUGACAGUUAAUAUUUUGAUUAACUAAUGGACAAGCCACAGACAUUCAUCUGUGUGUGUGUAAAUGUGUUUCCUGUAGUCUCUAAUUUUUCUCCUUUUUUUAAUUUUCUUUUUAUAGCAGCGUGAUCCUUUUUGGAUGUCCAUCGCAGACCAUCUGCUAUUCCUGGACCCGUUCUUGAUGAAAUAGUUCUUCCAGCCACAGAGUCUAUUGGUGUAAAAUUGCUGCUGAAGAUGUGGUGGAGACAUGGUCAUUCAAUCAAGGAUUCACAUGCAAAUUUGCUAUAUGCGGAUGCUCGUAGAGAAGCUAGAAGAGCUUUUCCUAGCAUUUUCUUCUGAUGAUGCACAAGCACAUCGUGCUGAGGCUGAGCUUAGUGAGGAUUGCCUUGGAAACUUAAAGCAGUCUGUUAAUGAUGAUGUUCAGACUUUUAAGCACAUCGGUGAGGAUCUUUUUGUGGUUAAUUCUAUUAUUUUGUUUUCUGUGUUUUUUAUUAGCUGUUAGUGAAAAAUGUUUGCUUUUGUUGACAUCUUAAAGAGGAAAACAGGUUGCUAUGACAAGUGAAAACCAUAAAAAAUGGUUUUACUUGUUUCAUCAACUUGUUUUUCACACAUAAUUUUUUUAAUAUGGACAACCACCAGCAGAAAACAAAAACAGCAUGAAUAUCAAACGGGCUCUAAGUUUACGGGUAAUGCCUGCUACAAUUACAGAUUUAACAUUACCUUUGCCAAAAGUCUCAUUUAUAACAAUGAAAUGCUAUGUUAUCUCAAAAAAGAAGGAUAGUUUAUAAGAUAUUGAAGGCAAAGGUCGUUUAUAAGAUGUUGAAGGCAAAGGUUAUACUCUUGGUGCUAAGAUUCCAAUUUGCCUGUGGUUUAGGGGCCACAUAAGAUGCUUAGUUGGGGUGAAGGCACUAAGCUUUGGUGAUUAAUAAUUAUAGAAAUAAAGUACAGAACUAAAAGUUGUCAAAGAGUCGUUCCUUCCAUUGUUAUGUUGGUAGAAACACAAUAUGGGAGUCUCGUUAUGGAAACUAUUAUAUUUAACUUGAAAAGCCAUACAAUCAGUACAGUAUUCCAUCACUAUAUUUAAUAUAGUGUUUCUCCCUCCUUUUAAUGGAAGGAAAUUUUGAUUUGCACUGUCCUCAAAAUAAAAAUUUUGUAGCUUUUCUCUCAAUUACUUCAAUGCUUUUUUGCAAUGAAAACUGAUGUGGACUUAUGCCAAGAGUGAGCCUGGCAUUGUAUUGAUUCUCAAUUGAUGUAGAUACUCCUUUUGUGUGUUGAUGUUGGAGGUUUGUAAAAAUUUAUUGAAUCUAUUUAUCUUGCUGUAGUUAACUUACAAAUUUACAGAGAUUCUUUUCGUAGUGGCAGCAUAAGCAGUGUAUCAUUUUUUCUGCUUCA